CUCCAGAAAGGAGGCUGCAGAGAGCAGAGACCCAAUGCGCGAUGCUCCUUCCUGCCCAAGGGUCUCCCUCCUGCCCGGAGCUCGGUCCCUGGCUGAGGGAGGCGAGGUGUGCCGCCCUCUACCCGCCCCCCACCCCCCCAACGCACCAGGGCAUCCGGGGAAAGGUGCAAGGGGCCGAGGUCAGAGAACACAGCUCUGGAAGACAGCACUCUUGGAAACACCCUUCCAGAACCCCUUUCCCAGUUCCGGUCUGCAAAGCAGAGCAGAAGAGAUUGAGAAUCGCCCAGUCCCCGGACGUUUCUUCAGGAGCCUGGAGAUCCCGCCCGCCUGACUGUGAGGUUUCGGAUCGCCUACUCCCAAAGCUGGCCAGCAGGAGCAGCCCCUGUUCCUCCCGAGUGACCCAGCCCUGAGCUACAAACCAUCCCUCCCAGGCCCCCUGUGCCAGUUGCUUCUGAAAACAGAAACAAGCCUUCUUCAGAGAUGGACGUGGCUCCUGGCGGACGGGGCUGCCAAGUCCCUGGAAGAGCUGGCGUGGGGGGCAGCAGCGUCCUACCCCCCGCAGGAGGCGGCAGGGUUCCUGGAGCAGGCCUGUCUGCCGGGGGCGGGGGGCUGGGGCUCCUGCCUGCAGAUGCCCAUGUUUACCCAAGAUGGGCUGGAGGGACCUGGAUGCUGGUUCUGGAGCCCACUUCUCAGGAACUGGGACAGCUGUCCCUGGACAGCCACCAAGACUCUGGCUUGCAGACUGAGAUGGAGUGUUGAGCGCGUGGCAGUGGCACAGACGCUCUAGCAUUUGGCCUAUGUUAUAAGACACUGCCGGAAGCCGCUCCAAGGAGUUGGAACUUACUGCAAAGAAUGGGUUAGGGGACUAGGCUUCAUUGGCAUCCUGCCCCCCAGCUAACAGCCUUCCUCCCAGUGUUCCAGGGAGGGGCUCAUUGUUACCCAGUGAUGGCCACCCUGAUGUCCUCCCCCUAGCCCCCAGCCAACUCGGAGACCCCACCCCUCUGGUCCACCUCCUGGAAAGUGGGCAUAACUUCUGGUAGAACCCAAGGUGUAAAUAUCCUAAUUGGCAUCUUAGUAGGAGCAGAAAAGCCCAUUGUUAUGGAAGAGAAAUCUCCCAAUUCCCCACCAAUUAAUCUUUGGCUACGGGAGGCUCGUGCUUACCAUAUCAAUGGGCUGGGGCUCUGGAGUGAGUUGAAGAAGGUAGGGGGGACAGUGACAGCAGCAGGUGAGGCAGCGGUCCUCUCUGAGCUGGAGAACCCCAUCCUCCUAGGGUCAGUGCUCCCGCCACCCCCUGGAGGGUGUCCCCACCGUGAGGACAGCUGCUGGUGGUCCAUCCCUGGGGAGGCUACUGUGGCGGAGGACUGUGGUGGACAUUGGUUGUUUCUUUCCUUUGUGGGGCUCAGCAGCAUCCCAGAUGCUUUGCUCAUAGUAUGGGAAUUUCCCCAUCAUCUGAGUCUUGGUGGGAGGCAGAGUGUGCUUUCCUCUAAAGGAAUGGAAAAUUCCAGCUACUUGCUUUCCAAGCAGGGCUGGCGUAUGCCCCUGGCUGGGCCAGUCUGGCCCUCCCACCUCAGCUGACCCACGCAGGAGGCAGGUGUUGGUGGCGGGAACAGAUGAUUCCGGGGAUGGCCGCUCGUGGGACUGGUGGGUGGUGCUGUCCGAGGGACAGGAGUUCUCUUCUGUGACCCGAUUUUGCUGGUGCUCCUGGCCGCAAAGUCGAUCGUCCGUUCACCCAUUUUCCAAGUCUCAUUUCACGAUGACCUUCCUGAUAACUGGGAGGCACUGGACAUCUUUUAAAUAAAAUCAUGUUCUGCUUAAAUCUGCCAGAAUCAGUUCUGUUGCUUGGAAAUAACACAUCUGACGGCAACAAUGCAUCUUAUGGGGCAGAACAAGAGAUGAGGAAGCCGUGGGCUCUGAGCCUUACUCACCAGCCAGUGGCAGAACUGGAUUUGAAGCCAAGCCUUGCGGUCCCGCCUUCGGGUUCUUGCUGGGGGCCACGCUGCUCUAGGUGCCUUGGCUAAGCAAAGCAGGUUUCCACCUUAUGGAACAUGUCCUCCUCUGUCUGGAUCACUGCCACUCCUCUGAUCUCCCAGAUGGGGCCAGGUCCCUCAGACACCCUUGCUUCCUGCCCUUCACAAGAGUCCGCAUUUGACACCUCCCCUGCCACAGAAUGAAUCUAUCUUCACAAAGUAGGAAAGGGAGACGAAGAUUUG